UCCACCUCCCAGCAAGGAGCGCACAGCGAGAGAUAAAGCUGGAUUCUCUCAAGGGGUGAAUAAGGAUCCUCCUGUUCUUACACAACGCGAUGAAAGGAACCGGGAAUAUCCACAACAAGCGGGAAAAGUCCUUAAAGACAGAACAAUUCGCCACUGCCCUGCUCCGGUGGACCCCAAGGACACCGCAGCCCUCGGAGGAGAUGCUGCUGAAGCCUUGGGGUGCCAGUGGGUAUGAGGACAUGGGUACAUCCAGUGGGGGCACGCCAACAAAAAUCAGCAAAUCUUGAGUUCCUCCUUGAGAAAUACAAGGGUGGGAGGCCGCCUGUUGAAGUAACAAGCUGAAUCAAACCCCAUGCAGCAGCCACGCUCUCUAUCACAUGCCCAGAUGCUGCAGAUAACUGCUGUAAUUUAAAAGCGUGUGGACUAAUGAGAGGUCUCUCUUCUAGGUCAAAAUCUCUUCCCUAUUUGUGCAGGACAUACUCCAAUGCAAGAUUACAGAAGGACAAUUCAAGCAGCCAACCGAGGGAAAUAUGAAACCAAAGGGAACAAACUUUCACUAAGGGUCUAAUUCUGGAAGUUGCCUAAUAUCCUCCGACUGGAUUACAACUGGCGUUCUAGAAACAAAAUGCUUUGUUUGGGUCUGCAAACACUGCCACUAGGAUGGCAGAAGAUAAAUAUUGCUAUCUGGGCAGGAUCUCGCUCUACUACGUGAAAUGAACUGACUUGAAUUGUUCUUCAUGGCAUGCAGUAAAAGCUAUCCCGUAUUUUUAACCCAUUUUAAAAUCUCGUUCUGGAUUGCACAGAAGAUGUGAUUUCUUACCGGCUUGCACUUCUGAAAAAGUGCUAUCAUCAAUUAAGAUGUCAGAAAAUUACAUUUUUCCAAACGAGUAAAACUGGCUUUGUUUCCAACACAAAUUACACAACCAGCUCAGAAUUAGAAGCAUUGGAAAGAGCUGCUGACAUUCUCAACUGUUAUUUGUCUGUGAUGCUCCCUGUUCUUAGAGCUCGGGGAUGUGCACGCGCGAUCGCUGCUUUUUUGGCACAUGUGCACACUUUUCAUUAACACUAAAAUUCGGCCCUACCCCGUGGCUCUCAGUGACCCAGGGGCAGUGUGCCUUGAAGUUCAGCCGCCUGCUCACACUGCACCCCGAUUGCUGAAAUCUUCGCAAUGCGCCCUGCUUGGCGUUUCUACUGCACUAAAGUUGGCCGAGGCCUUAUUCCGAAUAAAUCAGGGCUGGUGCCUCUGCAAAAGAGCCUGCUUUUCUUAACAGCCUGAUUCACGGAUGAAAACGUAGUUAUCGACAUGGCAAUCACUUCCACGUUCAGGAGACAAUGAUACAAACACGGGAUUGUGACACCACUGACUAAUCUGCCGGUCACAAUCUAGACUCUGAAACACCAGCGGGAGGUGGAUUUCUGUGAUGUCACUGACCCGGUUGCAUCAGCGCUGGAUAAAAUCAGGCAAGAAGCACAAAGGGAUUGAGGAGGGCUUUGGUUUGGGCACGAAUCCAUCCCAGCCUGGUGUGGCAGCGCUCUGGCAGGACUUCCCUUGCCCUGUGCUGACUGGCGUCCGCUCCAACUGCUUCCCUCCCUCAGGCCUUUCACCUCCGUGUCACUGCUCUCCUCCCCUUUUCCUUUUCCUCUUCCUCUGUCCUGCCUUCAGUGCUCUCCUUCCCUUCCUCAUGCAUUCAUUUCCUGUUAAGUGAGUUCCCACCCGAAACACCUAAAGAACCCCACACACCAUUUGCAACCAUCUGGCUGAGCGCCGUCUCAGCGUGCUCACCCGUUUCCCUUUUGCCUUUUGACACCGCUCUUGAGAGAAAUUGGGAAUUGUUCUGGACGAGGAUCACCCUCUGUUAGGACUUACCCAAUAAAUAAGGCUCUAUAAGCUCGUAUGUGAUAAUUAUCAUCUUGGUGCACCGGCCAUUCACACCUGUGUAACAAACAAGUUGCAUCAAAUUUGUAACAGUAUUUCUGAUUUCGCAAAACACGGCAGGCAGUCAAGGCAAGAUGCACCGAAUCUUCUGUGCUUCACUGCACAGCCCACCAGGUAAGCUCUUCUUUUCUGCAUUAGGCCAUGCGGUCACCGAUGAUACAGCUGGAAAUGUCAGCCCACAGCUAACCACUGACUCUGUACAAGUAACCCAAAGGAGUCAAAGGGAUGAAAAGGAAGAGAAAAGCCCAGGCAGAAAGUUCAUGAGCUCACAAGGAAGAGAGGUAAAGCAGGCGCAAAGGAAAGGAAGAGGCAGACAAGUGGCUGUGGAAAAGGAAGGUGGAAAAGGAUGGGGAAAAAGGAGUCAAGAAAUAAAUGAAAGCUCAAAGCGUGAAAUACAGACGAGGAAAGUGAAAGCGAAACAGUUGGCUUUUCAGCCAUAUCCCUAUGUGCAAUCUUGCCAGCGUUCCUUAAAAAUCAGAUUUCCCCUUUAAUUCUGCAUUUAGCCUUAAAGAUAACACAGAAACCAUUCACAGCAAGCAGACUGUUCGGGGCCAGGAGAUGCAGCUCCGCUCUGACAUGCCUACCACAUAAAUGAACCAAAUUUGCAGUAGCCUACACAUAAAAAGAAGUCAACCUGAAGGCUCAAAUUUUAUACUGGCAAUAAAACCUUUGGCUGGCCAGUCUCACCGAACGUUCCCCAUCCCUAUAAAGCACUUCCUUUGGGUUUAACUCCUUUGUACAAACACCCUGCCAUACGGGGUGAGAGCGAUGUAGCAAGAGAACAGCGCGUGCAGCUCUUUGCCUGCACGCUGUCCUCUGCCUAAUCCGCUUGCUCCACAGCCACAGACAGCGCUCAGCUGCCCAGCCAGGAGCUGCAAACACCGCGGAGCUCGGGGACGAGCCUCCCUUCAGUCAACAACAUGUUUUGUCACGGUCUUGUGCCGAAGCAGCACACCUCACUGCGCCGAUGAGCAUCCAGGUUGCCCUCGGCUGCUGGGGCACUGCGAUAUAGUUUUGGAUGAGCAAAGCCACUGCUGGGACAACACGGAGGUCUGGGAUGGGAUCCAGAAUGCUUCUCCAGGACGGAGCAGCCACGUGAGGCUGUCAGAGUUGUUGGCUUGUAAUUUCUUUUUGAACCACCUGCUUUGCUGCCAGAGGCAGGCUGUGGAUGCUGGCGAGCGGGGAGGAGCGUUCUGGCUCUCCAAACGCCGCCACGAGCAGUCGGACCAGGGCAGCCACAACCUCACGUGAGGACACCAGCAUUCGUCAUCCCGCGCUCUGCCAGCCCUCAGCGCACGCAGCGCUGAGGGAAGCUUUCAUCUCUGCCUGUCCCCACAGCUUGGCAUUCCCUUCGCACUCUUGGAUCAAAAUAUGAGGCUCCUUGAACAAAGCUACCCUGACUCUUCUACACCUCUAAAGCAGCGUAAGUCUUACUCAGCCUGCCACAGCCAAGGGAUGGAUUAGCCACGGUGCAGACAGCUACCCAGGGACUUCACAUCUUUAAGACUUUCCUGGCAGGUCUGUGGGUCCCAGCCCUUUUGCUCCCAGCUGGCCCUGCAAAAACAUCCUCCUGACAGCUUUCCAUAAACACCCUACGAUGACUUUCCAGGCCCAUCAGCAAAUCUUAGUCAUCCACAGAGGGAGAAAAUCCAGCAUUAAGCAGUCAGGCGAAGAGACUUUGGAGCUUCCCAGGACGUUGUGAGCAGUGAGUUUUCAUUGCAUUGCCUGCAACGCUGCACGAAGCCUGCCCAAAUCUCCUUCACACUAUUGUUCCAGGGGACGUGCAAAUAAUAGGCUAGGAAAGAUUUAAUUACCCAUACAACACACUAUUGACAAUAUAUUGAACUCGGAUUGCUUACAGGCAUGUAACCUUGCUGAUUCUCACUUCUCUUGCUAAAUCAGGCUCAGGGCCCUUGCUCAGCAUAAGAGGUUCAAGAGAAAGUCAGACAUCUCUCCUUCCCGUCUGGAAAAUGAUAAAAAAAAAAAAAAAUUGAAAAGAAAACAGGUAUGUGGCAGACUAAGAUGACACUGAGGAUGCAAACACACUGAGGCAGUGAAAAGACAGCGAAAUACCAAUUCUGUUGGAGACUAACUUUCAAAGAAAACUAGACGUCUGUCAUAUUUCUCCAAGGAAUCACUAGAAAGGUUGCAUUAUUUAAGGAAAUUCAAAGUAAGACUACAUUUGUACUCUUGAUGGAAAAAACAAAACAAAACAAACCAGCAUGUUAAAGUAUAAUACACAAACUGGGAAAUGACUGAAUUCACUUUGGAAGGCACAUCAAGGUCUUGAAAUAACUGAUACGCUUUUGUCUAAGCUAGUAAUUAGUCAACUAUUCAAAAUCUUCUCAAUAGAUGUUUUAAAAUUUCAAUCUAAAAAAAAAAAAAAAGCACUUGGUUUUAACCUUGCUUGGAGGCUUGAAUUUCCCCCAGAAGAAGUACAACAAGGCCCAUAUCAGAAAGCUGAGCUUUCCUUGGCCAUUUUCAGCAAAUGGUUACCGAAAGGAGCUGCGAGGUAGAAUCAGAUAGAGGAGGUGUUGGGAACUGCUGGGCUGCGGCAGACACCCUGCCCCUCAGCCACCUGCCAGCUCCACCUCGGGCUCGUGUGAACCAGACCCCAAGCGAUUGUCCCCAGAGAGCUCGGCUACAUCCACUGAAGACAAGGCACUCUGGUGGCUCGUCAGCUUCGUAAACAUCACCGCUGGAGCGUAAGUGCCGAUUGAUUAAGCUGGAUUGAACUACCACGAAGUAUUUCAGAGGCACACCCUUUUCUUUUAAAUCUGCCUCUUCGCCCAUGUGUCCAGAAGGCACAGGGCUGCUGAUGAUUAAUUGCGAGCUCUAUUCCAGUUUAUUAAAGUACAACUUUAAUUUAUUCUAACAUCUAAGGGAGCUUUGUUACAUUUGUAACAAUGGAACAAUGAGUACGGUGUUUUUAAUUUACGAAGCUGAGAUUUUACUACUACAGUAGUUUUAAAAGAAAGGUGUACCUAUAAUUAAGUGCACAAGUCUUUCAAAUGAAGACUUCUGAAUUAAAGUAAGCCUUUAUGUCUAUAAAGUGUCUUUUAGAUAGGUAAUUCAGAACUUUAGCAAAUACCAUAGUAAAACCAAUGGGAUAUUUUCAGGAGUUUGAGGAAGCACAGAACAAGAACAAAGGAUAAUUUUCCUAAAUAUUUACAAACUUCAGUAAUUCGCUCAGGUGAGGUUAAGCAUAAUAAAUAACAGCUGAUUUUAAAAUACAAACACAAGAUCUGAUUCAAAUUGGUACAUUCUGACUCCAUAAUGUAAUUAUCAGUUCGAGGGAUGUCCCAAGUCUUGAGGUAGCUAGCACAAUGUGGCAAUACACACUGAAUUGUAUCACUUAGGAAACAUUUAACACAGACAACAAGUAACAACUCAGCCUGUACUCUUUCCCCCACCAAACACUGUUUAGCUUUGUGUUGCUAAAAGCAUAGUUUCUCAUCUGCACAUCCCAGUCACUUUAUGGGACCACUGCUCUAAAUCCCUGUUCUACAAGAACUGCUUAAAAUGUCUAAAAAAGUAAAAACUUCCACCCAAACAGUAUCUUUUCUGCCACCUCCGAUCAGGACACUAUGUUCUACUCCACUGAGCCAGUGAAGCCCUCGUGGCUUGCCAGCAUUUCCAAAUAACUCUUACAACUUACUUUUAAUAGCCUGCCCGCCCUCCCUUCCACACAUUCCUGUCUGCUCUACCUGUGCUUGAAAUACUGCUUCAUCGCUUUGCUUCAGGUGGGUAGGGCUGCACGU